GAGUCUUUCCGCAACUGACGGAAUUAAGGUGGUUUACCACCGGGGAGCGGAAGGUUUGUAGAAAUGUCGACCGUCUGGGCGCUGUGC
rnacentral:ncRNA from 2 species